CCUACGGGUGGCAGCAGUGGGGAAUAUUGCACAAUGGGGGAAACCCUGAUGCAGCGACGCCGCGUGAGUGAAGAAGUAUUUCGGUACGUAAAGCUCUAUCAGCAGGGAAGAAAAAAAGUCCUUUGGACUUUGGACGGUACCUGACUAAGAAGCCCCGGCUAACUACGUGCCAGCAGCCGCGGUAAUACGUAGGGGGCAAGCGUUAUCCGGAUUUACUGGGUGUAAAGGGAGCGUAGACGGCAGCGCAAGUCUGGAGUGAAAUGCCGGGGCCCAACCCCGGAACUGCCUUUGAAACUGGCAAACUGGAGUGUGUGAGAGGAUAGUGGAAUUCCAGGUGUAGGAGUGAAAUCCGUAGAUAUCUGGAGGAACAUCAGUGGCGAAGGCGACUAUCUGGAACAUAACUGACGCUGAGGAGCGAAAGCGUGGGUAGCAAACAGGAUUAGAUACCCCAGUAGUC
rnacentral:rRNA from 1 species